UAAAUACAAAAAUAGUUAGAUACAUUAUAAUAACAUAUAUACGAAAAUAUUACUGAUAGAAGACCACUUACAUAUGACAAGACUCAGACUUAUAACUAAACAAAUUAUGUCUAAUAUAAUCAUUAGAUACAUACACAUUGAUAAAAAAUAGAUACAUAUAAAUUGUAUCUCAAUAAUGUAUCAGAUAGACCAAUAAUGUGUCAAAUACAUGUGUAACUUUUCGCUUAUCGAAACUUAAUGAUUACGUUUGUGACUGGUCAGGGCAUCUUACUGCGAUGAUGUUUGCUUCACCUUUUUAUUCAUCGAUGUUGGUCACUAUGCCUAUAUCCGAUAGGAGAAGUGACACGUUGCUCACUAUGCCUAGAUCCGACAGGAGAAGUGACACAAAGUUUCUUGGUUGAUCUAUAGUAUACAAAUUACAAGGGUCUUGCACUCUUAUCUCUCAUGAUCGUGGCUAGUUGAUCUUUUGGCGCUCAAGGAUUGGUGAGUCCUUAUGUCUUGAGGAUUGAGACACUCUUAUAGCUUUAUGUCAUUUUAGUUUUCAAGUUGUGUAUCUGAUGUAUGGGUUACGUUCCAAUCAUUUUCCUUAUGAUGUAAUAGAUGACUUACUGUGAGUUAUGUUACGCUUCCA